AAAUCCAAAACUACCAAAUGGCACCAGUACACCACCGAACCUAUCUAUGUGCCAAGUUUGGUGAAGAAAUAUGAAUGGUUUUACAGUUCUGCUCCGGAAAAGAACACUACCACCAAUGUCAGUCAAAGUCGAACUUGUUGCCAUGGAAACGC